GCCUGAAGCCAUAGCACCUCAGGCUGUGAUCUCAUUUGAUUUCACAAGCUAAGAAAGGUUAGGCCUAGGCAGUAUUUGGAUGAGAGAGUGCCAAGGAAAACAAAACAAGGAGGCUGCUGAAA
rnacentral:rRNA from 1 species